rnacentral:rRNA from 1 species
CGAAUGCUGACAUAAGUAACGAUAAAGCGGGUGAAAAGCCCGCUCGCCGGAAGACCAAGGGUUCCUGUCCAACGUUAAUCGGGGCAGGGUGAGUCGACCCCUAAGGCGAGGCCGAAAGGCGUAGUCGAUGGGAAACAGGUUAAUAUUCCUGUACUUGGUGUUACUGCGAAGGGGGGACGGAGAAGGCUAUGUUGGCCGGGCGACGGUUGUCCCGGUUUAAGCGUGUAGGCUGGUUUUCCAGGCAAAUCCGGAAAAUCAAGGCUGAGGCGUGAUGACGAGGCACUACGGUGCUGAAGCAACAAAUGCCCUGCUUCCAGGAAAAGCCUCUAAGCAUCAGGUAACAUCAAAUCGUACCCCAAACCGACACAGGUGGUCAGGUAGAGAAUACCAAGGCGCUUGAGAGAACUCGGGUGAAGGAACUAGGCAAAAUGGUGCCGUAACUUCGGGAGAAGGCACGCUGAUAUGUAGGUGAAGUCCCUCG